rnacentral:rRNA from 1 species
UACAGAGGGUGCAAGCGUUGUUCGGAAUCAUUGGGCGUAAAGGGCUCGUAGGCGGUUUGUCGCGUCGGGAGUGAAAUCCACUGGCUUAACUGGUGGCUUGCUUUCGAUACGGGCAGACUGGAGGUAUGCAGGGGAGAACGGAAUUCCUGGUGUAGCGGUGGAAUGCGCAGAUAUCAGGAGGAACACCGGUGGCGAAGGCGGGUCUCCGGCAGGA